rnacentral:rRNA from 1 species
AGUGAACGCUGGCGGUAGGCCUAACACAUGCAAGUCGAGCGGCAGCACAGUAAGAUCUUGCUCUUACGGGUGGCGAGUGGCGGACGGGUGAGGAAUACAUCGGAAUCUACUUUUUCGUGGGGGAUAACGUAGGGAAACUUACGCUAAUACCGCAUACGACCUACGGUUGAAAGCAUUGGAUCUUCGGACCUUGCGCGAUUGAAUGAGCCGAUGUCGGAUUAGCUAGUUGGCGGGGUAAAUGCCCACCAAGGCGACGAUCCGUAGCUGGUCUGAGAGGAUGAUCAGCCACCCUGGAACUGAGACACGGUCCAGACUCCUACGGGAGGCAGCAGUGGGGAAUAUUGGACAAUAGGCGCAAGCAUGAUCCAGCCAUACCGCGUGGGUGAAGAAGGCCUUCGGGUUGUAAAGCCCUUUUGUUGGGAAAGAAAAGCAGCAGGUUAAUACCCCGCUGUUCUGACGGUACCCAAAGAAUAAGCACCGGCUAACUUCGUG